rnacentral:lncRNA from 1 species
AGGUACGCAUCUACUCCUAUUCUAAUCAUUCUCUAUUACAUGUUUUGAUUCCCAUAUGCGCUUAAUCGAUUUGAGUACCCAUUGAUUUUCCUAUUGAUUGCCACGUCAGCUUCAUUUUAUUAGUAGAGACCCGACUUUAGGGACUUAGAGGGGUGCUAUGAUCUUAACCGUACCUUCCCGAUAAGUAACCUGACCCCCGAACCCGAU